CAAUAGCGUAUAUUAAAGUUGUUGCGGUUAAAAAGCAUCGUAGUUGGAUUUCUGCCGAGGACGACCGGUCCGCCCACUGGGUGAGUAUCUGGCUCGGCCUGGGCAUCCUCUUGGAGAACGUUACUGCACUUAGACUGUGUGGUGCGGUAUCCAGGACUUUUACUUUGAAGGAAUUAGAGUGUUUCAAGCAGGCACACGCCUUGAAUACAUUAGCAUGGAAUAAUAAGAUAGGACCUCGGUUCUAUUUUGUUGGUUUCUAGAGCUGAGGUAAUGAUUAAUAGGGAUAGUUGGGGCGAUUCGGUAUUUAACUGUCAGAGGUGAAAUUCUUGGAUUUAUGAAAGACGAACUUCUGCGAAAGCAUUUGCCAAGGAUGUUUUCAUUAAUCAAGAACGAAAGUUAGGGGAUCGAAGACGAUCAGAUACC
rnacentral:rRNA from 1 species